UGGGGAGUAUUGCACAAUGGGCGCAAGCCUGAUGCAGCCAUGCCGCGUGUAUGAAGAAGGCCUUCGGGUUGUAAAGUACUUUCAGUCGGGAGGAAGGUGUCAAGGUUAAUAACCUUGGCAAUUGACGUUACCGACAGAAGAAGCACCGGCUAACUCCGUGCCAGCAGCCGCGGUAAUACGGAGGGUGCAAGCGUUAAUCGGAAUUACUGGGCGUAAAGCGCACGCAGGCGGUUGAUUGAGUCAGAUGUGAAAUCCCCGGGCUUAACCCGGGAAUUGCAUCUGAUACUGGUCAGCUAGAGUCUUGUAGAGGGGGGUAGAAUUCCAUGUGUAGCGGUGAAAUGCGUAGAGAUGUGGAGGAAUACCGGUGGCGAAGGCGGCCCCCUGGACAAAGACUGACGCUCAGGUGCGAAAGCGUGGGGAGCAAACAGG
rnacentral:rRNA from 1 species